AACCUCCGCAAUGUGAGAAAUCGCGACGGGGGGAUCCCAAGUGCCAUUCUUAACGGGAUGGCUUUUCAUUAGUGUAAAGAGCUUUUGGAAUAAGAGCUGGGCAAGACCGGUGCCAGCCGCCGCGGUAACACCGGCAGCUCUAGUGGUAACAAUUUUUAUUGGGCCUAAAGCGUCCGUAGCCGGUUUAAUAAGUCUCUGGUGAAAUCCUGUAGCUUAACUGUGGGAAUUGCUGGAGAUACUAUUAGACUUGAGACCGGGAGAGGUUAGAGGUACUCCCAGGGUAGAGGUGAAAUUCUGUAAUCCUGGGAGGACCGCCUGUUGCGAAGGCGUCUAAUUGGAACGGUUCUGACGGUGAGGGACGAAAGUUAGGGGCGCGAACCGGAUUAGAUACCCGGGUAGUCCUAACUGUAAACGAUGCGGACUUGGUGUUGGGGUGGCUUUGAGCUGCUCCAGUGCCGAAGGGAAGCUGUUAAGUCCGCCGCCUGGGAAGUACGGUCGCAAGACUGAAACUUAAAGGAAUU
rnacentral:rRNA from 1 species